rnacentral:rRNA from 1 species
GAUGAACGCUGGCGGCGUGCCUAAUACAUGCAAGUCGAGCGAACGGACGAGAAGCUUGCUUCUCUGAUGUUAGCGGCGGACGGGUGAGUAACACGUGGAUAACCUACCUAUAAGACUGGGAUAACUUCGGGAAACCGGAGCUAAUACCGGAUAAUAUUUUGAACCGCAUGGUUCAAAAGUGAAAGACGGUCUUGCUGUCACUUAUAGAUGGAUCCGCGCUGCAUUAGCUAGUUGGUAAGGUAACGGCUUACCAAGGCAACGAUGCAUAGCCGACCUGAGAGGGUGAUCGGCCACACUGGAACUGAGACACGGUCCAGACUCCUACGGGAGGCAGCAGUAGGGAAUCUUCCGCAAUGGGCGAAAGCCUGACGGAGCAACGCCGCGUGAGUGAUGAAGGUCUUCGGAUCGUAAAACUCUGUUAUUAGGGAAGAACAUAUGUGUAAGUAACUGUGCACAUCUUGACGGUACCUAAUCAGAAAGCCACGGCUAACUACGUGCCAGCAGCCGCGGUAAUACGUAGGGGGCAAGCGUUAUCCGGAAUUAUUGGGCCUAAAACGCGCGUAGCCGGUUUUUUAAGUCUGAUGUGAAAGCCCACGGCUCAACCGCUGGAGGGUCAUUGGAAACUGGAAAACUUGAGUGCAGAAGAGGAAAGUGGAAUUCCAUGUGUAGCGGUGAAAUGCGCAGAGAUAUGGAGGAACACCAGUGGCGAAGGCGACUUUCUGGUCUGUAACUGACGCUGAUGUGCGAAAGCGUGGGGAUCAAACAGGAUUAGAUACCCUGGUAGUCCACGCCGUAAACGAUGAGUGCUAAGUGUUAGGGGGUUUCCGCCCCUUAGUGCUGCAGCUAACGCAUUAAGCACUCCGCCUGGGGAGUACGACCGCAAGGUUGAGACUCAAAGGAAUUGACGGGGACCCGCACAAGCGGUGGAGCAUGUGGUUUAAUUCGAAGCAACGCGAAGAACCUUACCAAAUCUUGACAUCCUUUGACAACUCUAGAGAUAGAGCCUUCCCCUUCGGGGGACAAAGUGACAGGUGGUGCAUGGUUGUCGUCAGCUCGUGUCGUGAGAUGUUGGGUUAAGUCCCGCAACGAGCGCAACCCUUAAGCUUAGUUGCCAUCAUUAAGUUGGGCACUCUAAGUUGACUGCCGGUGACAAACCGGAGGAAGGUGGGGAUGACGUCAAAUCAUCAUGCCCCUUAUGAUUUGGGCUACACACGUGCUACAAUGGACAAUACAAAGGGCAGCGAAACCGCGAGGUCAAGCAAAUCCCAUAAAGUUGUUCUCAGUUCGGAUUGUAGUCUGCAACUCGACUACAUGAAGCUGGAAUCGCUAGUAAUCGUAGAUCAGCAUGCUACGGUGAAUACGUUCCCGGGUCU